ACCUCUCAUCGCCCUCACUCGCGUUCUCUUCCCAAUCACCCAUCUCCAACCUACGCUCUUUCAAAAUCAUUCGUCAUCUCUCUUUCUCUCUCAACCUUCGCUCUCAACCUCACGUCUCUCUCCGUCCCUCAAUCGCUCACAACACUACCCAAGGAGAGCGUGAAUCCAUGGUUUCAAAGAGAGAAUCAAGUGAAAAUCUUACCUUCGGCGACGACGAUGACUCAGAUUAGGGUUUCAAUUUGGUCUUUGGUGAUCCAAGAAGUAUCUCUGCGAACUCCUUUCAGGGCUCAGAAUUCGGAUUGUCCUGUUUGAUGCUUGUUCUUGGAACGAUAAUCUGAACAUGCGCUUUUUCUUUGAAUUUUGUCUCCAUUCCAUUUCGGGUAUUUUCUGAAUUUUCUACAGCCUUGCUAAUUUUUUUAUCUUUUACUGCAGUGAAUAUUUAGUAAAAGCAUGGGCAACUUCUCUGCAUCAAGCUCAAGCCUUCUGCACCAAAGCUAUGAUUCUAGUGCAUUGAAUUUGGUUUGUGGAACCUUGUUGUCGAUUAUGGAGUUCGAACAUAGCUUUGAUGCGCAAGUGAAGCCGUUGUUGUUGGAAUGAAGACGCAAUUCUCGAUGUCUUGUUAUUUGUUGUAUGCUCAUGUAUGCCUUCCUAUGUUCUUAUUCUGAGGCAGUGUCCUUCUGCAGUGCCUUAGAUUGAAAACUGGAGCUCCAUCGACGGACUCGGAUGUCACAUGUUUUUCUGGUACUUUGAAACCAUCUUCAAUUUUACCUUGGGAUCAUUAUUGUAAGCAAGCAUCUCACGACUAUGUCUGUAAAUUCUGCAACCAUUCCGUCAACCUGCCAGCCAUAGUAAUUAAGAGCAAUACUUUGACCUAGUACACUGCCAAUAUUUUGAAUUCCAUCAACAUCCAGGAAGCAAACCAGAUGCAUAUUUCCAUUUGUUCCAUUCAAGAAAGAAGAACUAGGAUCCUUGGAAUCGCCAAGAUUGCCAACUUGAGAACUACGUAAUUGGUCAUUCGUGAUGAUGGUGUGUUAAUGUGUGCUGCUGAAAACUGAAUGGAAUUGCAAGAUGUAUGUUUGAUGCUGCCUAUUAUUGGCUUGCUGUCUGCUGCAGCUGUGUUGUUCUUGUACAGAAUAGUUCAAUUGUUUUCAGGCACAUUCCAUGACAGGAUCAUGGCUACUGCAGGAUCAAGAUGGCAGGAUGUUUGUCAUAGUGAAUCCAAGACCAAACCCAUGUGUGCUCUCUUGUCCAAAUGGCCAAUGUAAGUGUAGUAUUUGACCAUGGGACUAUGAUUCUUGGUUGUGUUAGAUAAAGGACCUAUUUAGCAAGGUGAGAAUGGUUGGCAAGGCAAAAAGUUCAAGUAAUGGCAUGGUGAGCAUGAAGUUGCAAAUAAGCCAAGUUACUUGAAAAUGAAGAAACAAAGCAAAAGCAUAUCAAACGUGACUUCUGGAUGAUGAAUCAAGGCCAAGUGGGUUAGAUUAGGUCUUAGGUGGCCAAAAAUGGAGGAGUUGACUUUGGUCAAAGUUGACCAAAAAGUCAGCUGUUGACCAAAGUUAACACUUGGUCAAAGUUAUCAAAAAAAUUGUAUUCUCCCAUGUAAUGAUUAAUGU